UGGUAGUGGGGGAUAACGUUCGGAAACGGACGCUAAUACCGCAUACGUCCUACGGGAGAAAGCAGGGGACCUUCGGGCCUUGCGCUAUCAGAUGAGCCUAGGUCGGAUUAGCUAGUUGGUGAGGUAAUGGCUCACCAAGGCGACGAUCCGUAACUGGUCUGAGAGGAUGAUCAGUCACACUGGAACUGAGACACGGUCCAGACUCCUACGGGAGGCAGCAGUGGGGAAUAUGGGACAAUGGGCGAAAGCCUGAUC
rnacentral:rRNA from 1 species